UGAAACCGUUUAGGGGUAAACCUGAGAAACCCGAAAGGUCGAAGGGAGAAAUUCAUUCGCGUUUCGAGACAGGCGCUGAGUGAUUGUUUUGUGACGGAAGAGGCAUUCGUGCCUCCUCCGCACCAGUUGCUUAUGCGAACCGGUUACGAACGCGUGCACUUUUCUCCUGGUAGGACGUCGCGAUCCGUUGGGUGUCGGUCUACGAUUUAGGGUGGAGUUCAUUCAUUUUCYCCMUGGGGAAAAUGAAUGAACCCCUAUUUUCCGGCCGACUCGCUCGACGGUAUAUGAACGGUUCGAGGCCGCUGUAGAGCGUCCGACCCAUGACAAGCGCGCCAGAUGUGUUGGCGAUCGGACCUAGUGCCGGUUCCAAUCUCUGGUGACUGUUGGUUGUGGUGUUCUUGGACAGACCUCGUUUAAACCGAUCAGCGACGGUGUAGCAUUGGGUACUUUCAGGACCCGUCUUGAAACACGGACCAAGGAGUCUAGCAUGUGCGCAAGUCAUUGGGAAUUACUAAACCUAAAGGCGUAAUGAAAGUAAAGGUCUUCCUUGCGAAGAUCGAGGGAAGACAGGCGGUUUAGCCCUUAAAAGCGGCCGCCUAGCACUCCCGGGGUGUCUCAUUCUCAUUGCGAGAAGAGGCGCACCAAGAGCGUACACGCUGGGACCCGAAAGAUGGUGAACUAUGCCUGGUCAGGACGAA
rnacentral:rRNA from 1 species